AAGGAUCAUUAUCAUGUAUUUCAGUCAUGCUGCUGUGUGAACUGCUAUAAAUCCACUCUGUGUACCCCACCCUGUUGCUUCCGCUGGGCCCCCCGGGGCAUUUUGGAGGAGCUUACAAUGGAAGUGCGGCUCAGUUCUCUGUGCUGCGAUGCUUUGCGGCCUUUCCAGGCUGCUCUGGAGUUACCUGCCCAGCGGGAGGAUUAAAUAAUAUCUUGGUUUUACAAUUGAAUCAGUCUGAACGAGAAGAACCAACUAAAAUGUUAAAACUUUCAGCAACGGAUCUCUUGGUUCUC
rnacentral:misc_RNA from 1 species